CCUACGGGAGGCAGCAGUGGGGAAUAUUGGUCAAUGGGCGCAAGCCUGACCCAGCAACGCCGCGUGAAGGAAGAAGGCUUUCGGGUUGUAAACUUCUUUUCUCAGGGACGAAGCAAGUGACGGUACCUGAGGAAUAAGCCACGGCUAACUACGUGCCAGCAGCCGCGGUAAUACGUAGGUGGCAAGCGUUAUCCGGAUUUACUGGGUGUAAAGGGCGUGUAGGCGGGACUGCAAGUCAGAUGGGAAAACCAUGGGGUCAACAUAUGGCCUGCAUUUGAAACUGUCGUUCUUGAGGACUGGAGAGGCAGACGGAAGUCCUAGUGUAGCGGUGAAAUGCGUAGAUAUUAGGAGGAACACCAGUGGCGAAGGCGGUCUGCUGGACAGCAACUGACGCUGAGGCGCGAAAGCGUGGGGAGCAAACAGGAUUAGAUACCCCUGUAGUC
rnacentral:rRNA from 1 species